CCUCUCAUGGCGUAGUGGUAACGCGCCCCAACUAGAGUCGUGAGUUCGAUUCUCACUGAGAAGA
rnacentral:tRNA from 1 species